rnacentral:tRNA from 1 species
GCCCUUGUGGCUCAGUGGUAGAGCAUAGGUCCACCUAGGAGCCAGAAGGUCAGGGUUCGAUUCCUGGUCAGAGCA